rfam:Arcobacter marinus strain SH-4D_Col1 genome assembly, contig: Ga0139036_109
GGGAGGUAUGUGAUCCUGGUGGACACCACGGGCUUCAACCCCGAUGUCUGGGCUAGUGUUAGUCUGGAGGUAGGUUCGAUUCCUACACCUUCUC